GGUCGGGUGGAGCAAUGGUGGCUCGUCACUUUCCGGUGUGGAAGCAGGUGAAGGUUGCGGGUUCGAGUCCCGUCCUGAUCG
rnacentral:tRNA from 1 species